AAACUUAGGUUAAUAAAACCGGAAGCCUUCAAAGCUUCAAAUAGGACCAAUUCCUAGUCUCUG
rnacentral:tRNA from 1 species